rnacentral:lncRNA from 1 species
ACGCCCACACACACACACGAAUCAAGGAUAUGGGACACAACUUUUUCUUCAUUUAUAUUUAUAUUGUUCCAAAGAUUAUGACAUUAAUAUUAUCUUGUCAAAUAUGGCUUUGCCCACAUGGACUUCUAACGAGGAAAACUGUUUGAAAACUCAAGGCAAUUUUUAUUAAAACUUGCUGCUAUAAUUCUAGCAAUACAAUUAAGUUAGGUAAGGAUCUUGCUAGGACUUAGUUCGCGUAAAGACUUUUAACGAGCUCAAUAGACUUAUGUCGAUCUCUUCGAUCUUGUCAGCUGAAAACUGAGUUCAGUCUUGACAUCAAGUAGGAGCUCUUGUGUUCUUUGGGAUCUUUCUCUUAAACUGAAAGGUCAAUCUAGAGAUUUGCAUGUGUUGUACGACAUGAAAACUUAAGCUUUUAAACAAGGUCACACGUAUAUUUAAAUAUUGUCUUCAACAUGCCUCUCCACAUCUAGGAACGUCAAAGCCUCAUAUGUGCACAAUUUCGUUGAAUGGGUGCCAGCACGACCUAAACCCAUGACCUACCAUGCUAGAUAUGUAUAUUAAUUCACUAAUUCUCUCUCAUAAUUUCAUUCUUUCUACAUAUCUACUAACCCGUCCAAAAUUCACUGUUUCAUUGUUUGCAAAGGGAUUAUUAUUAUUUAUGGAUCUUGACCUCCAGCACAUUUAGCCCAUGUUUGGCCCCUAUUAAAUUAAAAUUUAAUUUUCUCUCUCCUCUUAUUAACCACAUAUUCUCCAAUAAAAUAAUAUUACGCGUAAACUUAAAAAAAUUUCCUUCAUUUUUAACCACACAUUCUCCAAAAAAUUACUACUCCCCUCGUUAUAAUUUGGUAUUUGUGCCCAAUAGAAGUUAGACAUGGCCAGUAACUGUAUAAUAUGGCAGAAAACAAACAUAACUGUGGUGCUCUUUUUUAUUGUGAUAUUCAGAAGGUGGUUAUUGAAUUCAUUGUAUGUUCUUGCCUUUGUUUUGAUUAUAUUUGGUAUGAUGCUUGCAUAGUCUGCUAUUCCAAAUCUAAAUUUCCAUUCUAAGGUUGGAGAUUAAGGACAAUAUUUGAUGGCAAAUAAUAGUUAUGUCAUGAUUAAGAAAAUUCAAAACAGAAAUGGUAAAUCUCUUUCUAGACUUAAAUGUAAGCUAUGAAACUAUAUAAGGAUUAUUUUUGAAGCAACUUAUAAGUAAUCUAGCAAGACGUGUAGAAUGGCAAAUUAAUUAUCUAAUGCUAAAUACUAUUCAAAAUUCGGCAAAACUAAUUUGAAAAUAGUUUGGGUUUGACUUAACGUUAUGUUGCAGCCCCUGGGAUUUUCAGAUAAUAUCAAACCUGAUGAUGUAAACCCCCGUUUGGUUUUCCACUAUGGUAUCCCUACAGGAUCCAUGUUGCUGGCAUAUGACUCCAUUCAACAAAUUCUUGCUAUCGCAACUAAGUAAGUUUCUCUUCCAUAUUUUGGUCAAAUAUCGUUCAAGUUGCCUAAGUAAUCCCCUUUAAUGUGUUUUGCAAAAAUGGUUGAAUGUGGA